UACGGAGGGUGCGAGCGUUAAUCGGAAUGACUGGGCGUAAAGGGCACGCAGGCGGUGCGUUAAGUCAGAUGUGAAAUCCCCGGGCUCAACCCGGGAACGGCAUUUGAAACUGGCGAGCUGGAGUUUCGUAGAGGGGGGUAGAAUUCCGGGUGUAGCGGUGAAAUGCGUAGAUAUCCGGAGGAAUACCGGUGGCGAAGGCGGCCCCCUGGACGAAGACUGACGCUGAUGUGCGAAAGCGUGGGGAUCAAACAGG
rnacentral:rRNA from 1 species